rnacentral:rRNA from 1 species
GAUGAACGCUAGCUACAGGCUUAACACAUGCAAGUCGAGGGGAAACGGCAUUGAGUGCUUGCACUCUUUGGACGUCGACCGGCGCACGGGUGAGUAACGCGUAUCCAACCUUCCCAUUACUGUGGGAUAACCUGCCGAAAGGCAGACUAAUACCGCAUAGUCUUCGAUGACGGCAUCAGAUUUGAAGUAAAGAUUUAUCGGUAAUGGAUGGGGAUGCGUCUGAUUAGCUUGUUGGCGGGGUAACGGCCCACCAAGGCUACGAUCAGUAGGGGUUCUGAGAGGAAGGUCCCCCACAUUGGAACUGAGACACGGUCCAAACUCCUACGGGAGGCAGCAGUGAGGAAUAGUGGUCAAUGGACGGAAGUCUGAACCAGCCAAGUAGCGUGCAGGAUGACGGCCCUAUGGGUUGUAAACUGCUUUUGUAUGGGGAUAAAGUUAGGGACGUGUCCCUAUUUGCAGGUACCAUACGAAUAAGAACCGGCUAAUUCCGUG